UACAGAGGUCUCAAGCGUUGUUCGGAUUCAUUGGGCGUAAAGGGUGCGUAGGCGGCGCGGUAAGUCGGGUGUGAAAUCUCGGAGCUUAACUCCGAAACUGCAUUCGAUACUGCCGUGCUUGAGGACUGGAGAGGAGACUGGAAUUUACGGUGUAGCGGUGAAAUGCGUAGAUAUCGUAAGGAAGACCAGUGGCGAAGGCGGGUCUCUGGACAGUUCCUGACGUGAGGCACGAAGGCCAGGGGAGCAAACGGGG
rnacentral:rRNA from 1 species